rnacentral:lncRNA from 10 species
GUUCUUUUUCCUUAGGGACCCAAGUAUUACUAAAACUAAAGUGCAACCUCCCAACUCUGCUACCCGUGCACACAUGGUUGGAGCUGCAAGACCAGGUUUUCCUCCAUCCCUUUCCCUGACAGGAGCUCAGCAAAAAGGAGAAAUCAAAGAUGAUGGGGACCUCACCUCCAAGAUCUCAGAAUUUCGGGGAAUGUUUCAUAGCCAUCCAAAGUAAUGCAAAAGCACUCCCUUUGAAUAAAUAAGUAUGGUCCUGUGGUUGAAGGCAUCUCUUUUAAUAAUGCAACACACAGCUUCCUGAGGGGACAGCAGUUGAUUUGGAAGUGGAAUAUGGUGCACUCUAAAUUCCUGUCCCUGCGGAAGGCUGACUAACUGAUAAGUGCCAUGAGCUAGCAUGGGGACUCAUUCUGUCAAAUCAACUUGCUGGAAAGGCCCCAUGCGGAAUCUUCUCCAGUCUCCAGGAGCUAAUGUGAGCAGACACUUGUGACAUUAGACAGUACAGCAGGCCUGGCAUGAAGAAAAAGUUCACCAUCCACAGACAAGGUGGUCUUUUAGAUGACAAGGAUAAAGAAACGGAGAAGUCACGCUUUUGAGGUGGAGGUCUCUGACAGCUACUGGUCCCACAAAAACAAGUGGGAAAAGUGUGUCCACCAGGCUGUCAACUCAGCUGGCGGAGAAACUGCUGCAUGUCCUAGCUCCGAAUUGCUC